AUUGAACGCUGGCGGAAUGCUUUACACAUGCAAGUCGAGCGGCAGCACGGGGGCAACCCUGGUGGCGAGCGGCGAACGGGUGAGUAAUACAUCGGAACAUGCCCAGUCGUGGGGGAUAACACUUCGAAAGAAGUGCUAAUACCGCAUACGUCCUGAGGGAGAAAGCGGGGGAUCGCAAGACCUCGCGCGAUUGGAGUGGCCGAUGUCAGAUUAGCUAGUUGGUGGGGUAAAGGCCUACCAAGGCAACGAUCUGUAGCUGGUCUGAGGGGAUGAUCAGCCACACUGGGACUGAGACACGGCCCAGACUCCUACGGGAGGCAGCAGUGGGGAAUUUUGGACAAUGGGGGCAACCCUGAUCCAGCCAUUCCGCGUGAGUGAAGAAGGCCUUCGGGUUGUAAAGCUCUUUCGGCAGGAACGAAACGGCGAGCUCUAACAUAGCUUGCUAAUGACGGUACCUGAAGAAGAAGCACCGGCUAACUACGUG
rnacentral:rRNA from 1 species